AACGAACGCUGGCGGCAUGCCUAACACAUGCAAGUCGAACGAGACCUUCGGGUCUAGUGGCGCACGGGUGCGUAACGCGUGGGAACCUGCCCUUAGGUUCGGAAUAACUCCCCGAAAGGGGUGCUAAUACCGGAUAAUGUCUUCGGACCAAAGAUUUAUCGCCUUUGGAUGGGCCCGCGUUGGAUUAGCUAGUUGGUAGGGUAAAAGCCUACCAAGGCGACGAUCCAUAGCUGGUCUGAGAGGAUGAUCAGCCACACUGGGACUGAGACACGGCCCAGACUCCUACGGGAGGCAGCAGUGGGGAAUAUUGGACAAUGGGCGAAAGGCUGAUCCAGCAAUGCCGCGUGAGUGAUGAAGGCCUUAGGGUUGUAAAGCUCUUUUACCCGGGAUGAUAAUGACAGUACCGGGAGAAUAAGCGCCGGCUAACUACGUG
rnacentral:rRNA from 1 species